ACUUAGUGGCGGGCGGGUGAGUAACGCGUGGAUAACCUGCCUUACACUGGGGGAUAACACUUAGAAAUAGGUGCUAAUACCGCAUAAGCGCACGGAGCCGCAUGGCUCAGUGUGAAAAACUCCGGUGGUGUAAGAUGGAUCCGCGUCUGAUUAGCUGGUUGGCGGGGUAGAAGCCCACCAAGGCGACGAUCAGUAGCCGGCCUGAGAGGGUGACCGGCCACAUUGGGACUGAGACACGGCCCAAACUCCUACGGGAGGCAGCAGUGGGGAAUAUUGCACAAUGGGGGAAACCCUGAUGCAGCAACGCCGCGUGAGUGAAGAAGUCAUUCGUGAUGUAAAGCUCUAUCAGCAGGGAAGAAAAUGACGGUACCUGAGUAAGAAGCCCCGGCUAACUACGUGCCAGCAGCCGCGGUAAUACGUAGGGGGCAAGCGUUAUCCGGAUUUACUGGGUGUAAAGGGAGCGUAGACGGCCAGACAAGUCUGAAGUGAAAAUCCAGCGCUUAACGUUGGAAGUGCUUUGGAAACUGCCGGGCUAGAGUGCAGGAGGGGCAGGCGCAAUUCCUAGUGUAGCGGUGAAAUGCGUAGAUAUUAGGAGGAACACCAGUGGCGAAGGCGGCCUGCUGGACUGCAACUGACGUUGAGGCUCGAAGGCGUGGGGAGCAAACAGGAUUAGAUACCCUGGUAGUCCACGCGGUAAACGAUGAUUA
rnacentral:rRNA from 1 species